rnacentral:pre_miRNA from 1 species
UCUUAUGAAUGAGCAAAGAAAGUGGUUUCUUGAGAUAGAAUGUACUGAUGAUGAAGACGCUGUGAA